rnacentral:rRNA from 1 species
AACGAACGCUGGCGGCAUGCCUAACACAUGCAAGUCGAACGAGACCUUCGGGUCUAGUGGCGCACGGGUGCGUAACGCGUGGGAACCUGCCCUUAGGUUCGGAAUAACUCCCCGAAAGGGGUGCUAAUACCGGAUAAUGUCUUCGGACCAAAGAUUUAUCGCCUUUGGAUGGGCCCGCGUUGGAUUAGCUAGUUGGUAGGGUAAAAGCCUACCAAGGCGACGAUCCAUAGCUGGUCUGAGAGGAUGAUCAGCCACACUGGGACUGAGACACGGCCCAGACUCCUACGGGAGGCGGCAGUGGGGAAUAUUGAACAAUGGGCGAAAGCCUGAUCCAGCAAGGCCGCGUGAGUGAUGAGGCCUUAGGGUUGUAAAGCUCUUUUACCCGGGAUGAUAAUGACAGUACCGGGAGAAUAAGCUCCGGCUAACUCCGUG